rnacentral:lncRNA from 1 species
AAUCCCUGGAUCUGAUGGGAAAAUCCUGGGAUUUAACAGGAAUGUCCCAGGAUCUGACAAGAAAAUCCCGGGAUCAGAUGGGAAAAUCCUGGGAUCUGACAGGAAAAUCCCAUUAUCUGACAGGGAAAUCCUGGGAUCUGAUGGGAAAAUCCUGGGAUUUAACAGGAAUGUCCCAGGAUCUGACAAGAAAAUCCCGGGAUCAGAUGGGAAAAUCCUGGGAUUUGAUGGGAAAAUCUCAGGAUCAGACAGGGAAAUCCCAGGAUCUGACAGGAAAAACCUGGGAUUUGACAUGGAAAUCCCGAGAUCUGAUAGGAAAAUCCCUGGAUCUGAAGGGAAAAUCCUGGGAUCUGACAGGAAAAAUCCCAGGAUCUGACAGGGAAACCCCAGGAUCUGAAAGGAGAAUCCUGGAAUCUGGUGGAAAAAUCCCAGGAUCUGACAGGAAAAUCCCUGGAUCUGACGGGAAAAUCACGGGAUUUGAUUGGGAAAAUCCUGGGAUCUGAAGAGAAAUCCUGGAAUCUGCUGGAAAAAUCCCAGGAUCUGACGGGAAAAUUCCAAGACCUGAUAGGAAAAUCCCAGGAUUCAACAGGUAAAUCCUGGAAUCCGUCAGGAAAAUCCCCUGGAUACGAAGGGCAAAUCCUGGAAUUCGGUGGGAAAAUCCUGAGAUCUGAAGGGCAAAAUCCCAGGAUCUGGUGGAAAAAAUUCUGGGAUCUGACAGGAAAAUUUAAAGGAAUUCCAGGAUUCCCAGGAAAACCGGGAUAUUUGGAGGGGUGGAGGUUGUGGAUUCCAUGGAAGAUUCCCAGGAUCCAAAUUAUCCCGGCGGGAUCCCGAUCCCAGCUUUGGGAUCUCCAGGUGCCAUCCGGCGUUUUCCAGCUCGGGAUUGGGGGCUGGAAAAGCGGGAAUGUCGAUGUAAAAGUAGGGAAUUGUUUGGUUUGGGGGUUGUUCCAAUUGGGAAUGGGCUGGGAAAGGUUCCCGGGAAAAAGCGGGAAUGGGAUUUUGGGUGAAAAAAAGGGGAUUUGGGGUUUAAGGGGUUGAUAUGGGGGAUGUGUGGGAAUGGUGGGAAAAUGGGAAUGAUGGGAAUAAUGGGAAUGAUGGGAAAAUGGGAAUGAUGGAAAAAUGGGAAUGAUGGAUAUUUCAGAAUGAGGGAUCCAUGGGAACGAUGGGAAUAUGGGAAUGAUGGGAAUGAGGAAUACCUGGGAAUGAUGGGAAUGAUGGGAAUGAGGAAUAUCUGGGAAUGAUGGGAAUAUGGGAAUGAUGGGAAUGAGGAAUACCUGGGAAUGAUGGAUACAUGGGAAUUAUGGACAGCCGGGUAUGAUGGGAAUGUGGCAGUGAUGGGAAAAAUGGGAAUUAUGGGAAAAUGGGAAUGAUAGGAAGGAUGGGAAUGAUGGAUCCAUGGGAAUGAUGGGAAUAAUGGAUCCAUGGGAAUGAUGGUCGUGCGGGAAUGAUGGAAAUGAGGGAUGUGUGGGAAUUAUGGAAAUGUGGGAAUGAGGGAUACCUGGGAAU